AUGUCACUCAAACAAAUCGUUGGGCACAAACUGCUCAACGAUGUAAUCCGUCCACUGAAGAAGGGAGACGGGCGUAGCGCGUGGAAUGUUCUCAUCGUUGACACCCUAGCCAUGCGGAUGUUGUCAUCCUGCUGCAAAAUGCACAAUAUUAUGGAAGAAGGAAUUACAAUUGUGGAAGAUCUAAACAAAAGGAGAGAGCCCCUUCCAACACUUGAAGCCAUUUAUCUGAUUGCUCCAACUGCUGAAUCGGUUAGUUUUAAUCUCCAAAAGUCGCUUGUCUAAACCAAGAUGUUUUGCAGAUAGACAAGCUGAUUCAAGAUUAUUGCGCCAGAAAUUUGUACAAAUGCGCUCAUGUCUUUUUCACCGAAGCGUGUUCGGAUCAGCUCUUCUCAACAUUAUCCAAAAGUGCAGCUGCUCGUUUCAUCAAAACUCUGAAGGAGAUUAACAUAGCUUUCACUCCAUACGAAAGCCAGGUUUUCAAUUUGGACUCUCCUGAUACAUUUUUCUUAUACUACAACGCCCAAAAACAAGGUGGUCUGACAUCGAACCUUGAGAGAAUUGCUGAACAAAUCGCAACGGUGUGCGCAACACUUGGAGAAUAUCCAUCAUUGAGGUACCGUGCUGACUUUGAGAGAAAUGUUGAGCUCGGCCACCUUGUUGAGCAAAAACUCGACGCUUACAAGGCUGACGAUCCAUCUAUGGGUGAGGGAGCCGACAAGGCACGCAGUCAGUUGAUCAUCAUCGACAGAGGUUACGAUGCCAUCACUCCACUUCUCCAUGAACUUACUCUUCAAGCAAUGUGCUACGACCUUUUGGGCAUUGAGAAUGACGUUUACAAGUACGAAACGGGAGGAAGCGAUGAAAACUUGGAGAAAGAGGUUCUGCUCGAUGAGAAUGAUGAUUUAUGGGUUGAAAUGAGGCACAAACAUAUUGCCGUUGUUUCACAAGAAGUCACAAAGAACUUGAAAAAGUUCAGUGAGAGCAAGGGCAACAAGGGAACGAUGGACUCCAAAUCGAUCAAGGAUCUAUCGAUGCUCAUCAAAAGAAUGCCACAGCACAAGAAAGAGUUGAACAAGUUUAGCACUCACAUCAGUCUUGCUGAGGAAUGCAUGAAACAGUAUCAACAAGGAGUUGACAAGUUGUGUAAGGUUGAACAAGAUUUGAGUACCGGAAUCGACGCAGAAGGAGAACGAGUCAGAGAUGCAAUGAAGUUGAUGGUGCCACUUUUGAUUGACCCAGCCGUGCGGUGUGAAGACCGCCUCAGAUUGAUUCUGUUGUACAUUCUUUCCAAGAAUGGAAUUACUGAUGAAAACUUGAAUAAACUUUUACAACACGCUAAUAUCUCCAUGGCUGAUAAGGAAACAAUCACCAACGCUGCUUACUUGGGAUUGAAUAUUGUUACCGAUACCGGCCGCAAGAAGACGUGGACCCCAACCAAAAAGGAAAGACCACACGAGCAAGUUUACCAAUCUUCCCGCUGGGUUCCAGUUAUCAAGGAUAUUAUUGAAGAUGCUAUUGACGAGCGUUUGGACACAAAACAUUUCCCAUUCCUUGCUGGACGACAAGUUAACCAAGGAUACAGAGCCCCUGCAUCUGCUAGAUAUGGUCAGUGGCACAAGGAACGAGGACAACAAUCCAACUAUCGCAGUGGACCACGACUGAUUAUCUACAUUAUUGGAGGUGUCACCUUCUCCGAAAUGCGAGCUUGUUAUGAAGUGACCGCUGCCCGAAAACCGUGGGAAGUCGUCAUUGGGUCCGACAGAAUCAUCACUCCGGAUAAGUUCCUGACCAACUUGCGUGACCUGAACAAACCGCGUGACAUAUGA
rnacentral:misc_RNA from 1 species